ncrna:unclassified sequences drum RNA
AAGCGAAGAAGUAAGGUUUGUUGUGCCAGAGGUCAGUGCCUUACGAGCUUUAUAAGGGUUUAGCAUUUACCACAAUCUGGCUAGAGAAUGCAGACUCUCAAAAGAAAAUGCCAUAG